rnacentral:lncRNA from 1 species
CGGCUCCCGGAGGGGGCGGCUUCCUGCCGCCGGCCGCACCUGAGCGGGGAGGGCAGGCACCUCGAGCCUUCCCGGGGCCCUCCCCGAGGUCUGUCGACGAGGGCAAGGGAGUUGGCCACCGCGGGCUGGGUUUUGAGUUUUGGUUUCGUGAGCUGGUGACACUGUGAAAGGCGCACCUGGGGAGCCUGGGAGAGGCGAGGGGCCUCUUACCGUUACCAGGAAGCAGCGCUGGGCCGCCCGCGCCGCCCAAUGGAACCGUCUGGGGACCUCGAAAGACACCGACGUCUGAACCCGACCUCCAGAGACUGAUUUGACGGGUCCGAAGUGAGACUCGGACGUUGGAAAACUCACUCGACAGAGGUCAGGUUCUCUCUGCGCUGCGGCUCCUCUUAGGCUGCUGGGGGCUGCGGGGAAGGUGUGGGUUGUGGAGUCUCACGGAGAGAUUUUCCACCCAGACCUGCCACCUGCUGCGGUUGUCACUGUCGUUCAGAAUCUCUGAAUCUCAGUUUCUUCACCUGCCAGAUGGAGAUAAGAAAAGCCGGUACCCGACAGGGUGAUUAUGAAGAUUCCAGGAGAGGACGUCUAAGCACCUGGGCCACAGGUGCUCAACGAGCUACCAGAACCUGCAGGUCCCCCAUCUUGGUAGAAACUACACUUUGCUUUCAGGAGCAACCACGAGGGACCUCCUAAAGGGGCCCACCAAGUUUCCCCAGAGAGCCUGAAGCAGAUAGGGUGGCCUCAGAGCGAAAUUUGAAGGGGAUGAAAAAAUACUGAAAUAAGGUUUAAGUUGAGAAGUUUCUGGGCCUGCAACUGCUUAUUAGAAUGAAUGUGUUUUUCCACUUUGUGCUUCAGGCAGAUUCUAAACCCAGAUCAAGGCCCUGGGAAUGACGAAGUUUGUGGCCUGAUGGAACCCCCAAUCCCAGAGGAUCUGGCCUGGAGAGACAGGGCUUCUGAAAUGCAGCCCUCAGACCCCAGGCAUCUGGACCUUUCCGUGGGAAACACCCAUCAGCAAUGCCAGGAAGACACAUGCACUGACCCCCUGAACAACUGGGGGCUGUUUGGGUGUGCUGCGUUCAGCCACACCUGCAGACAGGGAAAGAGAGGCAUGUUGGAGGGUUGAUAUUUCCCCAGCAGCCCUCUCUUCGCUAUUUAAAGAGAAAUUGCCAUGGAACUGGAGUGUGGUUCCCAGUGUGGUUGCUUCCUUUCCCUGCCACACCGCCAAACUCUCUGCAUCCCCACUGCUCUUCGUGAGGCCUGGCUCUUCAUGAGGACCUUUGUUUAGGAUACAUGACCUCCCCUGGGGCCCUGAGCAACUUCUCGGACCUUCUUUAAGCCCUGAGUCUACACUAAGUGGAAGUUCAAAUUUCUAGGGCAACAUUCCAGGUUAUUAUGAAAAACAUUGAUAAGGAAGGAAAGAAAAUACCUAUGCAGUUCAGUCUGGCCGGCCCAUUCUCAGAUCUGAUCCCUGAUGCCAGCAGCCUUGGGGUGGGUAGCUCCCACCCAUCCCUAGGAAGGACAAAAACAAAAAACAAAGACUCAGGCCACGGGAAUAUGGAGUUGCAUAGAGCUCCAGGUGAAUGGCAGGGUGGGAAUGCAGGUAUCUGGGCUCCAAAAACACAGAAAUGAGAACCAGACGAGGCUGAAGCAUCCUGAGUCCAAGAUUUCAGACAUGCUGCGGUGGUGAUUCUGCAGCAGAAGGACCACAGGGGACUUCAGCCGUCCAAAGUGUUCCUGCAGUUACCCUCUGUCUCCCCUAGAGGGAGCAGCUCUGGGCUGACUCUCCCCAGCCAGUAAAUCCUCUCACCUCUGAGCUAAAGAAAUUAAGCUGCUAAGAGUUUGCCAAAGACAAAAGCCUAUGGGGAGGCCUCGUAGAACGAGUAAUUAAAAUUGUUUCUGAUACAAUCUCUCGCUUUACAGAAUGGAAACUGAGACCCCCAGAGAUGAAGUUGUGUACUGAAGAUGAUGCAGUGAGAGACAGCAGACAAGACACACUGACCCGACCCUGCCACGAUCGGUGUUUUCUUAUUGCUGUUUGGUUGUUUUUGAUUGAACCCCAGAGCACUUUGCCACCCUGUGACAUUCACCUUUUUUUUAUUUUUUAUUUUGAAACAGGGCCUGGCAAAGUUGCUGAGGCUGGCCUCAAACUUGCAAUCCUCCUGCCUCAGCCUCCCUGGUCACUGGGAUUACAGAUGCGCACCCCAUGCCCAGCUGCGUGGUCUGUUUUUUAAAAAUAUUUCCAGUUGUAGAUAGACACAAUACCUUUAUUUUAUUUACUUAUGUUUAUGUGGUGCUGAGGAUGGAACCCAGGGCCUCACAUAGGCUAGGAAGGACUCCACCACUGAGCCCCAGCCACAGCCCCUACAUGGUCCAUUUUUGGUUCCCUCCGUCCACCACCCUCCAGAAGUCUGGGCUGUGCAGUGAGGCCAUUCUUUACAGGAGUUUAAAACAGCACACUUUGUUCUUUUCUCCUCCUCCUCCUCCUCCUCCUCCUCCUCCUCCUCCUUCUUCUUCUUCUUCUUCGUGCUGGAAAUUGAACCCAGGGGCACUAACCACUUAGCCACAUUGCCAGUCCCCCACCCCGCCUUUUUUUGGUAUUUUAUUUAGAAACAGGGUCUCACUGAGUUGCUUAGGGCCUUGCUAAGUCACUGAGGCUGGGUUUAAACUCACGAUCCUCCUGCCUCGGCCUCCUGAGCUGCUAGGAUUACAGUGUGUGCCACCGCCCAACUGACCUGUUUGUUCGUAACUCACCUUAGGGUCAGGGAUAAUUAUGGGUUCAGAGGGGUGGGGUUGGACCAAUGUACAGACCUCUCCCUUGGCCUCUGGCGUUGGAGUCAGCUCCCAGGCUCCUGUUUCAUUAAUAAUUAAGGAAGAACUUCUCUGAAACUUCCCCUACCCCCUUCUUAUCAGCCUGGGAGGAGGUGUGUGGGCAGAUAGAGGUAGGACUUCUGAGGGCCCCACCUCUCUGAUCAAUAGGACUCUGUGUCUCUGACCACUUGUGCUUCUAGCCUCAGGCCCCAGCCAGGGACCAGCUCUCCAACUGCCUGGGGAGCCCUCACUUCACAGUGGGGGAUGAGCAUCCCCAGUUCUGGCAAAACGAUGCUCAGGCUCAGCCCAUGGCUCACCCAUCUGCAGCUGAGGUCAGUACAUUUUCUGAUCUGCUUUGCACUGCAGCAGCACAGGUGAGUUUGUCCCAUGGAAGAGAUUUUUUUUUUUGCACCAUUCUCAGAAAGGGGUCAUAAGAGCCUCUUGCCCUUUUUGUUUAUAGAAUGCUAUGAUUUUGCUAAGAAGCAUCAUGAUUAAAAUUAAAUGAGGGCUGGGGUUGUGGCUCAGUGGUAGAGCACUCGCUUAGUAUGUGUGAGGCCCUGGGUUCGAUCCUCAGCACCACAUAAAAAUAAAUAGAUAAAAUAAAGGUAUCGUGUCCAACUACAACUAAAAAAUAUAAAUAUUAAAAAAAAAUUAAAUGAGAUUGCCGCAUGAUCCAGAGUUCCACUUCUGGGUAAAUACACAAAAAAAUUGGAAGCAGAGACUCAAACAUACUCGUACACACAUAUUCAUAGCCACAUUAUUCAAGAGCUGGGGCUGUAGCUUAAUGAUAAAACACUGGCCCAGCACCCCCUGAAAAAGAGUGAUACAUUGUAGCAGCAUUAUUCAAAGUCAUGAAAAUGUUGGGAAGAAAAAAAUAAGUGUCUCUCAACAGAUGAUUGGACAAACAAAAUAAAAGAUGUGAACAAAAUGGAACAUUAUUCAGCCCUAAAAAGGAAGGAAACUCUGAACCCUGCUACAAGACUGAAUCUUUUUUGGUAUUGGAGAUUUAACCCAGGGGCAUGUUGCCACUGAGUUAUGUCCCCAGCAGCCCCCCCCCACACACACACACAGGUCUCUCUCUAAGUUGCUUAGAGCCUCAUUAAAUUGCUGAGGCUAGCCUUGAACCUACAAUCCUCCUGUCUCAGCCUCCCAAAUUGCUGGGAUUACAGGUAUGCACCAACUCACCCGACAAGAAGAAUGAAUCCUGAAGACAUUAUGCUAAGUGAAAAGGGGAGAAAUACUACAUGACUUCACUUAUGUAAGGUCCCUAAAUAGUGCAAGUUUUAGGAACAGAGAGUAGAAUGGCACAGGGCACAGUGAUGCAUGGGAGUGGCUCGGGAGGCUGAGGCAGAGGAUUGCAAGUUCAAAAUCAGCCUCAGCAAUUUGGCAGGACCCUAAGCAACUUGGUGAGACCCUACUCAAAAUAAAAAGGACUAGGGAAGUGGCUCAGUGGUUGAGUGCCACUGGGUUUAAUUCCUUACAAAAAAAGAAAAUGAAGAAAGUAGAAGAGCAAUUACCAGGGAUGAGGAGGAGGAAAGAAUGGGACGUUACUGUUCCGUGGGUGGAGAGUUCCUGUCUUACAAGGUGCGUGGUGGUGAUGGUUGCGGAAUAAUGGGAAUGUGCUUCAGGCCACUAACUGUACCCUUAAAAAUGGUUAAAAUGAUAAAUCUCAUCUUUUGUAUUUUUUGCCAUUUAAAAAAAAACUCACAAUUAAAAGAUUCGUUUAACUAG